rnacentral:rRNA from 1 species
UACAGAGGAUGCAAGCGUUAUCCGGAAUUAUUGGGCGUAAAGCGUCUGUAGGUGGCUUUUUAAGUCCGCCGUCAAAUCCCAGGGCUCAACUCUGGAUAGGCGGUGGAAACUACCAAGCUGGAGUACGGUAGGGGCAGAGGGAAUUUCCGGUGGAGCGGUGAAAUGCGUAGAGAUCGGAAAGAACACCAACGGCGAAAGCGCUCUGCUGGGCCGACACUGACACUGAGAGACGAAAGCUAGGGGAGCGAAUGGG